CAUUGCUGUGGAAGGGGAGGAGGUUCUUGGCCCACUACUGAUCAGGGACGCUACAGCAGGCCCGAGAUCUGUAAAGAGAGCCACAAAUGCAUGUCUUACCGUGCUUGGGGAUAUACUGACUCAAAGACCAAAGUUUUGGGAGAAACAGCAGCUUUUACCUCGUCGCGGUGGGACUUGGCGAUCAGGUCUGCCUGGAGUUGGCUUUACAAUUAAUGGUCUUUGAAGCAUGACGAUUUUUUGGUUUACUUCUAUUAAUCUAAUUUUAAAAAAUAAAGUUUUUUUUAUUAUUCAA